AAAAAGACAAACCCUGGUUUCCGUGUCCAACGUUUGACCGUCCGUCUUAUUUAAAAAAAUUAUGAAAAAAAUUAAAAAAAUAAGUCACGCAUAAAGUAUUAAUCAUAUUUUAUCAUCUAACAACAAUAAAAAUACUAAUUAUUAAAAAAUUUCAUAUAAGACGGACAGUCAAACGUUGGCACGCAAACCCACGGUUUGCUUUUUU
rnacentral:pre_miRNA from 1 species